CCGGAAGUUACAGAGACGGAGAGGGACAGAAACAAUCAAACAGCGCUACUCCACAACAUUACUAAGUUUCAGGCCGUCCAAUCACAACCCUGAAGCCCCCUGUCCCCAGCAGGAAAGACCAGGAAAAAGUGUUAGCUGAAGGUACAACUUCCUAUUGAGGAAAUAUCUGCCCACCUGCUCAGUGGGUGACAGGUCUUUCCACCAAGCUGUUCCAGGCCUGGAGUGGCAUGCUGGAACUUCCAGAGGCUUCUACACCUGAAGCAUUGUGAUGUGGUCCAGAUCUGACAGCACUAUUAGCUCAACCACAGUCUUCACAGCUGCAGUCGUCUGCCCCUGCACCUGCUACACCGGCCACGACAGCUGAUACAGAUCUGCCAGCCCCAGCAGUUCAGCUGCAGUCUCAGCAGUCCUCUGCUGUGGUCUUUCAUUUACCGGCUGCACCAGUUCCUACUACACUGGCCGUGAAGGGAGGAACUGUUGAGGAGACCCAGAUGGAUACAGAUCUGCCUGACAGCCUCACCCAGAAGACACUGGGCCUAUCAAGACUGACAAAGCAGAGAUGGGUGGCUGACAAGGAAAAAUAAAACACAACACACACAUUAUCCACAAUACGCAGGGCUGCGGGUUUUGGCAGAGAGCUACACACAGAGAGGCCUCAAUAUUCAGCUAUACAAAGGAAGUCGGCAGACCUGCAACCCCUGGACUGUGUGGGUUUUGUCAUCUGGAGCUGAAAAAUAGAGAGAUGGGAGGAAGAGUGGAGUUUAAAGGUUUAUCAUUAACAACAGACACAAUUCUAGAAUUAAUUCAUAUUAGAAUAUAUUACAUAAUAGUGACCAGUAGUUACUGUAUUGUGAUUGUUUAGUCGUAGUUACUGUAUUGUGAUGGUUUAGUCAUAGUUACUGUAUUGUGAUUGUUUAGUCGUAGUUACUGUAUUGUGAUUGUUAGUCGUAGUCACUGUAUUUUGAUUGUUUAGUAAUAGUUACUGUAUUGUGAUUGUUUAGUCAUAGUUACUGUAUUGUGAUUGUUUAGUCAUAGUUACUGUAUUGUGAUUGUUUAGUGUUUUAUUUACUCAAUCAAGUAUUGCCCCAAGGAGGGAUCGAACUGUGUCUCAAAAGCAGCAGAAAAGGUCAAAUUAGGUCACCAAAAUGUCCGUUACGGCUGUACACGACUGGUCCCCGCGUAACAAUCUGUAGUUCUGCCCCUGAACAAGGUAGGCCGUCAUUGUAAAUAACAAUUUGUUCUUAACUGACUUGCCUAGUUAAAUAUAAUAAAAAUGUUUUUUAAAUA